UAAUGAUUUUAAGAAUGUGGCUAUAAACCUCCAAUUGACUCAAGAAAAGCAAAUAAGUCAAGAUUGACAAAUGUAUAGGCUCUUCAUCUUAUUGUGUGUGUGUGUUUUUUUCCUUUUAGUUACUUGUCAAGGUAUAAAGAACUCUAUCACUGUUAAGACAGUAAACUUCACGGGGUAUAAUCUGACCUGGCAGGGAACAGAUCACAUGGUCAAGAUCUUAAAGACACUCAGGUCCAUCAGAAUUUCCUGUGACUGUGACAGUAGAGAGUCCUUCCUCCUCAGAAGUCGAAGAGGCUGAUGAUUCCUCAGAACGUGUUCAGGAAGAGCCAGAGAAAAUCCGUUUGAAACAAGAAGCAGUGCAGGGCCCCAUGGAACACCUUCUCCCUCCCACUGUGGAGAUCCUGAGCUGCAUAUGGUUGUGGUAUGGCUGUGUUCAGAAACUCCUGGAUACCUGUUUUAAAACUUAAAAAUGAGAGAUUUGCCCACAUGAAUCAACCGGAGACCUUUAUUUAUUUAUGAACCAAUAACUUUAUUGGAAGAAACGGAAAAACUGGAAGAACAAAACUUAAGUGAUAAAGUCCAGGAAAAGAGUCCUGCAC